CAAGGGACUUAUCCCUGAAGAGGACAACCACUGAAAACCCUUAGUCCUUCUUUUAUUCCAAACACAACACUCAGGCACUUAUUGCAAAAGAUAGCCGGGACGAGGUCCAGAACAUCCAAGAAGCACGCACAGCAGGAUCUUGAAUGCCCUCCCUUGUCCUUAACAUGGCUGCAACCAUAUCUACUCAAAAGUAAGUCCUAUUGAGUUCUAUGGGGCUUAGUUCCUGUCGGGAGGAUGAGCUGGGCUCCUGGGGGGUUGUCAGAAGAGGAUUCAAAUGGCUGGCAGAGGGAGAAGGGAGGAACUUACCCUCUGUGGAGCGAAGCCGAAAC